rnacentral:rRNA from 1 species
CAUAGGUUAAUGAGGCGAACCGGGGGAACUGAAACAUCUAAGUACCCCGAGGAAAAGAAAUCAACCGAGAUUCCCCCAGUAGCGGCGAGCGAACGGGGAGGAGCCCAGAGCCUGAAUCAGUGUGUGUGUUAGUGGAAGCGUCUGGAAAGGCGCGCGAUACAGGGUGACAGCCCCGUACACAAAAAUGCACAUACUGUGAGCUCGAUGAGUAGGGCGGGACACGUGGUAUCCUGUCUGAAUAUGGGGGGACCAUCCUCCAAGGCUAAAUACUCCUGACUGACCGAUAGUGAACCAGUACCGUGAGGGAAAGGCGAAAAGAACCCCGGCGAGGGGAGUGAAAAAGAACCUGAAACCGUGUACGUACAAGCAGUGGGAGCCUCUUAAUGGGGUGACUGCGUACCUUUUGUAUAAUGGGUCAGCGACUUAUAUUCUGUAGCAAGGUUAACCGAAUAGGGGAGCCGAAGGGAAACCGAGUCUUAACUGGGCGUUAAGUUGCAGGGUAUAGACCCGAAACCCGGUGAUCUAGCCAUGGGCAGGUUGAAGGUUGGGUAACACUAACUGGAGGACCGAACCGACUAAUGUUGAAAAAUUAGCGGAUGACUUGUGGCUGGGGGUGAAAGGCCAAUCAAACCGGGAGAUAGCUGGUUCUCCCCGAAAGCUAUUUAGGUAGCGCCUCGUGAAUUCAUCUCCGGGGGUAGAGCACUGUUUCGGCAAGGGGGUCAUCCCGACUUACCAACCCGAUGCAAACUGCGAAUACCGGAGAAUGUUAUCACGGGAGACACACGGCGGGUGCUAACGUCCGUCGUGAAGAGGGAAACAACCCAGACCGCCAGCUAAGGUCCCAAAGUCAUGGUUAAGUGGGAAACGAUGUGGGAAGGCCCAGACAGCCAGGAUGUUGGCUUAGAAGCAGCCAUCAUUUAAAGAAAGCGUAAUAGCUCACUGGUCGAGUCGGCCUGCGCGGAAGAUGUAACGGGGCUAAACCAUGCACCGAAGCUGCGGCAGCGACACUAUGUGUUGUUGGGUAGGGGAGCGUUCUGUAAGCCUGUGAAGGUGUACUGUGAGGUAUGCUGGAGGUAUCAGAAGUGCGAAUGCUGACAUAAGUAACGAUAAAGCGGGUGAAAAGCCCGCUCGCCGGAAGACCAAGGGUUCCUGUCCAACGUUAAUCGGGGCAGGGUGAGUCGACCCCUAAGGCGAGGCCGAAAGGCGUAGUCGAUGGGAAACAGGUUAAUAUUCCUGUACUUGGUGUUACUGCGAAGGGGGGACGGAGAAGGCUAUGUUGGCCGGGCGACGGUUGUCCCGGUUUAAGCGUGUAGGCUGGUUUUCCAGGCAAAUCCGGAAAAUCAAGGCUGAGGCGUGAUGACGAGGCACUACGGUGCUGAAGCGACAAAUGCCCUGCUUCCAGGAAAAGCCUCUAAGCAUCAGGUAACAUCAAAUCGUACCCCAAACCGACACAGGUGGUCAGGUAGAGAAUACCAAGGCGCUUGAGAGAACUCGGGUGAAGGAACUAGGCAAAAUGGUGCCGUAACUUCGGGAGAAGGCACGCUGAUAUGUAGGUGAAGCGACUUGCUCGUGGAGCUGAAAUCAGUCGAAGAUACCAGCUGGCUGCAACUGUUUAUUAAAAACACAGCACUGUGCAAACACGAAAGUGGACGUAUACGGUGUGACGCCUGCCCGGUGCCGGAAGGUUAAUUGAUGGGGUUAGCGGUAACGCGAAGCUCUUGAUCGAAGCCCCGGUAAACGGCGGCCGUAACUAUAACGGUCCUAAGGUAGCGAAAUUCCUUGUCGGGUAAGUUCCGACCUGCACGAAUGGCGUAAUGAUGGCCAGGCUGUCUCCACCCGAGACUCAGUGAAAUUGAACUCGCUGUGAAGAUGCAGUGUACCCGCGGCAAGACGGAAAGACCCCGUGAACCUUUACUAUAGCUUGACACUGAACAUUGAGCCUUGAUGUGUAGGAUAGGUGGGAGGCUUUGAAGUGUGGACGCCAGUCUGCAUGGAGCCGACCUUGAAAUACCACCCUUUAAUGUUUGAUGUUCUAACGUGGGCCCCUUACCGGGGUUGCGGACAGUGUCUGGUGGGUAGUUUGACUGGGGCGGUCUCCUCCUAAAGAGUAACGGAGGAGCACGAAGGUUGGCUAAUCCUGGUCGGACAUCAGGAGGUUAGUGCAAUGGCAUAAGCCAGCUUGACUGCGAGCGUGACGGCGCGAGCAGGUGCGAAAGCAGGUCAUAGUGAUCCGGUGGUUCUGAAUGGAAGGGCCAUCGCUCAACGGAUAAAAGGUACUCCGGGGAUAACAGGCUGAUACCGCCCAAGAGUUCAUAUCGACGGCGGUGUUUGGCACCUCGAUGUCGGCUCAUCACAUCCUGGGGCUGAAGUAGGUCCCAAGGGUAUGGCUGUUCGCCAUUUAAAGUGGUACGCGAGCUGGGUUUAGAACGUCGUGAGACAGUUCGGUCCCUAUCUGCCGUGGGCGCUGGAGAACUGAGGGGGGCUGCUCCUAGUACGAGAGGACCGGAGUGGACGCAUCACUGGUGUUCGGGUU